AGUGAUUCUUCGAAGUUCGCAAAUGCUACUGCUGCUUACAGCGGCAAGGAACAAUUGAAAGGCGGUAUUUCUAGCAGCGUACCGGGCCCUAGUCAGGACGGAAAUUGGCGGAAGUUAGUCAGUUCCGAGAAGGGACCUAAACUGGAGAGAUCAUCCAGUUUGCUUCCUACAUUUCCACCCGAUCUGAACGACAAACGUCCAGUUGAUACCGAGUUGCUCCCAAGAAGCAGCAGCCUGAAAGAACCGGUUUUCGACGAACUCGAAGGCAUCGUGAGGAUCAAACAAGCGGAAGCUCAAAUGUUCCAAACCCGUGCUGAUGACGCUAGAAGAGACGCAGAAGGUACUGCUGCUUACUGCGGCAAGGAACAAUUGAAAGGCGGUAUUUCUAGCAGCGUACCGGGCCCUAGUCAGGACGGAAAUUGGCGGAAGUUAGUCAGUUCCGAGAAGGGACCUAAACUGGAGAGAUCAUCCAGUUUGCUUCCUACAUUUCCACCCGAUUUGAACGAUAAACGUCCAGUCGACACCGAGUUGCUACCGAGAAGCAGCAGCCUGAAAGAACCGGUUUUCGACGAACUCGAAGGCAUCGUGAGG
rnacentral:lncRNA from 1 species